rnacentral:rRNA from 1 species
GGAUCAACACGUCGGUCGUGCCUUCGGUAUGAACUGGCGUCGUUGGUUUCUCCCUUCUGACGAACCAAGAUGUCAUUAAGUUGGUGUUUUGGGGAGUUAGGACUGUUACUUUGAAGAAAUUAGAGUGUUUAAGGCAGGCUUGUGCUUGAAUACAUUAGCAUGGGAUAAUAAAAUAGGACUUUGGUUUUAUUUUGUUGGUUAUAAAGCCGAGGUA